GUGAAUUCAGUAAAGGAACGGUAGGAUCGGAUGCUUCUGCAGGUUCUGAAAGAUCCAGAAUUUUUAAUGGACACAGAUCACCUACACCUGGAUUAAAGAGAGGAACGACUGAUCCAGAGAACUUGGUGUUCAUGAAACACAAUGUGAAGAGAUGAUGAACUGGACACAUAGCAAACCUUUAUAAAAGACCACUUCACAUCUGUUAACUAGAUAUAUCUCACCUGUUAGUUUCUCUCUGUAUUUAUAGAUGAUGAAGCCAAACAGACCCAAGAGAGAGAAAAUCACAAAAGUGAGGAACAGCGCCUUCCAUGGACCUUCUGAGCAAGAACCUGCUGAGAUGACAGAAGACCUGUUGAACAUCAGAUGAAGAGAUGAGUGUCCAGCUCUGGACAGAGAACGUCCCAUCCGUUGCACGUCUAUGAGAAGUUCCUCCGAUAGAGAGAUUCCUUCUGUCUGACUUCCAAACGACACUCGGCUCUGGAAACCAACCGCUGGAUCUGCAGCUGACGUUCAAGCGUGUGUCAUCGCUCACAGGCUGUGAAAAGAGAACCAGUGGGGAUCCUACAGCUGGAAGAUCACAGACACAUGUCAGAAACUCGUCAGUAAUCCAAUGGGAACAGACUGAAGUGGAUCACUUGAAAAUUUUUAUGCAAAAGCACAGUUAAGAUCGAUAGAUUGAUAAACUGACAGCAAGUGGUCGACCAAUAUUGUUUUUUUUGGGGGGGGGCAAAUGCUGAUAUUUGAAGUUCUGUAUUGUCUAUCAUAUCUGUAGUUCUGUGUAGUUCUUUUGUUCAUUGUUGGUUCUUCUUAAUUGUCUUCAUAAAUGUGUCUUGUCAUCUUGUUAGCCCAUUGGCAAAUAAAAUGCAAAUGGAAUUUGC